rnacentral:lncRNA from 1 species
GGUGACCCCAUUUUGGGGGUCGAAAUGGUGGGGGGUCCCAUGAGUGACCCCAUUUUGGGGGUCCCAAUGCUGGGGGUCCCAAUGGUGGGGGUCCCAUGGGUGACCCCAUUUUGGGGGUCCCAAUGUUGGGGGUCCCAAUGUUGGGGGUCCCACAGGUGACCCCAUGUUGGUGACCCCACAUUGGCUGUCCCCACAUGGCUGUCCCUAUAUGGCUGCAGUGUCCCUAUAUGGCCAUGCUGUCCCUAUAGAGCCGUACUGCCCCAUAUGGCCAUGCUGCCCUAUAGGGCCAUACUGCCCCAUAUGGCCGUGCUGUCCCUAUAGAGCCAUACUGCCCCAUAUGGCCGUGCUGUCCCUAUAGGGCCAUACUGCCCCAUAUGGCCGUGCUGCCCUAUAGGGCCGUGCCCCCACUCACCAGCAUGAAGCCAUCAUAGAUGCUCAUCAGCUCCUAUAGAGCCAUGCUAUCCCUAUAUGGCCGUACUGCCCCAUAUGUCCGUGCUGCCCCAUAUGUCGGUGCCCCACUCACCAGCGUGAAUCCAUCAUAGAUGCUCAUCAGCUCCUCGGUCUUGUACUGCUCCAGCACCACGACGCCGUGCAGCGCGGAGCUGCGGCGCCGGGCGCAGCCCUCGCAGUGCACCAGGUAGGUGUUGCGCCCGCCGCUCUCGCUGGUCACGAAGAGGAUGUUGAACACCUCCACCUGCGGCACAGCACGGCUCCUGCGGCGCCACGCGCACCCACGGCAGCGGCACCCGCCCCGCCCCCGCGCAACAACGGGGUCCCCGGGGCCCUUCGGGGUCUGCAUUUCCCACUGGGGUCCCCGAUGUCCCAUUGGGGUCAACCAAUUCCCACUGGGGUCAACCAAUUCCCACUGGGGUCCC